AACUUUGCUUAGCACGAGGACCUGAGAACAAGAAGAAGUUGAGAAAGACACGAGGAGAAGAAGAGCAAGCCGAUAAUCCUUCAUCAUGGAUGAACAAAGGCUACGAAAGGCAAUUUCGGAUGCAUCAAUCCAAAUGGACAACUUUUACAGGAGCGAAUUAGACUUUACCUUGGGAAUGAUUGAUGAAGUUGAGCAAGUAACUUGUGAAUGCUGUGGCCUAAAGGAGGAUUGCACUCAAACUUACAUAUCCCAAAUUAAAAGUUGUUAUUCAGACAAAUGGGUUUGUGGCCUUUGCUCAGAAGCAGUCAAAGAAAAGCUUACACAAGCACCAUCUAUUGCAAUCCAAGAAGCUGUGAGCUCACACAAGGAAUUUUGCCAAAAGUUUAACAGCACAACCAGAUCAGAUCCAAAGCUUUCCUUGGCAUGUGCCAUGAGGAACAUAGCAAAAAGAAGCUGGGAAAAUAGAAACUCCAGGACUUUGCCCACGUCCAAGAUCGCUCGAAGCACGAGUUGUGUCCCGAGGAUCAAUCUCAACUAGUAGGUUUCGCUACUGAGAUGAUUUUAAAUGAUCGUGCACGCAGAAUAUUGCUUGACUGCAACAUAACGAGAAAAAGAAAAACAAAAAUUGCAUAUGGAUAGUCGAGAAGAAGAGUCGUGACUUCACUCCAUGCAUGUUUUCUGUAUACCUAUGUUGUGAUUGACCGAAAUUCUCCUGCUCGUACGAGAUGAAUAUUCAGAAAGUGUUUCUUCUUAGCAUUUAGCGAAUUUUUUAGACUUUUUUUUAACUAAAUAUGUUGUCUAUAUAACCGAAAUUUUAAUACUUUGUAGUUCUAUUGAAUCAAUAACACUUGAUUUCUUUAUAUGGUUUA